UGGAGAAAGUCAUAGUGGCUAUGUGGUUGGCUUGAAACCAACUAUGGGAGGUUCAAUUCCUUCCUUUCUUAG
rnacentral:tRNA from 1 species